UGGGUUUGACAUGCUUGGAUGCUUGCUUGGAAACAGGUUAAGCUGCCCUUCGGGGUGAAACUUGCACAGGUGCUGCAUGGCUGUCGUCAGCUCGUGUCGUGAGAUGUCGGGUUAAGUCCUUUAACGAGCGAAACCCUUACCAUUAGUUGCCAGCGGGUCAUGCCGGGGACUCUAGUGGGACUGCCGGUGUUAAACCGGAGGAAGGUGGGGAUGACGUCAAGUCAUCAUGGCCUUUAUGCCCAGGGCUUCACACGUGCUACAAUGGCAAUCACAGAGCGACGCAAGACCGCGAGGUGGAGCAAAUCGCAAAAAGGUUGCCUCAGUUCGGAUUGCAGGCUGGCAACUCGCCUGCAUGAAGGUGGAAUCGCUAGUAAUCGCGUAUCAGCUACGACGCGGUGAAUGUGUUCCUGAGCC
rnacentral:rRNA from 1 species